UACAGAGGUCUCAAGCGUUGUUCGGAUUCAUUGGGCGUAAAGGGUGCGUAGGCGGCGCGGUAAGUCGGGUGUGAAAUCUCGGGGCUUAACUCCGAAACUGCAUUCGAUACUACCGUGCUUGAGGACUGGAGAGGAGACUGGAAUUUACGGUGUAGCGGUGAAAUGCGUAGAUAUCGUAAGGAAGACCAGUGGCGAAGGCGGCUUACUGGUCCGGUUCUGACGCUGAGGCGCGAAAGCGUGGGGAGCAAACAGG
rnacentral:rRNA from 1 species